rnacentral:rRNA from 1 species
UCAGGAAUAUUGCGCAAUGGAGGAAACUCUGACGCAGCGACGCCGCGUGGGUGAUGAAGGCCUUCGGGUCGUAAAGCCCUGUCGGAGGGAAAGAAAAGCCUGCUGGCUAAUAUCCAGCGGGUCCUUGACGGUACCCUCAAAGGAAGCACCGGCUAACUCCGUGCCAGCAGCCGCGGUAAGACGGAGGGUGCAAGCGUUGUUCGGAUUGACUGGGCGUAAAGGGCGUGUAGGCGGUCGGCCAAGUCUGAUGUGAAAGCCCGGGGCUCAGCCCCGGAAGUGCGUCGGAAACUAGCUGGCUGGAGCGCGGUAGAGGAGGGUGGAAUUCCUGGUGUAGCGGUGAAAUGCGUAGAUAUCAGGAGGAACACCGGCGGCGAAGGCGGCCCUCUGGACCGUUGCUGACGCUGAGACGCGAAAGCGUGGGGAGCAAACAGG